AACACCACUGGCCCGUGUGAGAAGGGGCAGCACACCUUCGUGGAUCAAUCUGAGAUACGCCUGUGGCCUCCUAUAUUACCACUGUAUCUGAGCACUAUGCAAUCCUUUAAUACAGUCAUCCUCACAGCAUCCCUGUGGGAUAAGGAAAUACUAUUAUGCCCAUUUUUCAGCUAAGGAACUGAAGGAAAAGAGAGAGUAUAUGACUUGUGCAAGGUGACACAGGAAGUCUGUGGCAGAACAGGUCUCAUGUCAUGUUCAGGGUCCAUUGGUACCUGCAUGCCCCUCAGGCCCUCAUUUCUCAGCAAUGGCUUGCAAAGUUGUCAAGUUGCCUCUAGCUAGCCUGUGAUCCCAAGUAUGUUAGUAUCACAGAGGAUGAACUCCUGCUCUUCAGAGCACUUCUAGCAAAGAAAAUUACACCCCAAGUUUUGCUGCUUGGAGAUCACAAUCCUGCUACCUUGGAAGUCAAUGUGACAGACUUCAAGUGGGAACUGGAACAGUCUUGGGAGAACCUGCAUGAUGAUAAACAUAACAGAAACAGCAAAGAGAAGAAAGGAAUCUAACCUGGAGUAGAGAGUCAAUUAUUGGGAUUUUACAACAAGAUAAGUCCAAACAUCUUCAUUAUUAAGGGGAAAAAGUAAUAUAACAAAGACAGUCUUUGACUGGUUAAAGACAUUUGUAACAAUGGUCAUGUUGUUGUUCAGCCCCAGUUUGGGGUUCCUUGUAAAGUAAAAUCAUAAACUAAUCCACGGAGUUAUUCCCUUUCAGAAAAAAAUGAGAAAUGAAAGAGGAAGAGCAUAGAAAGCGAGAAAAUGAUCAAGCAAAUGCCCGAAAGGUUAAUAAGAGGGCAGGAGAGGAAUGAUAGGACGGGGGGUGGGGGAAGGUAACGGAAGAGAGGAUGAGUUGGAAAGAUGGGAGGGGACUAGGAAGCACUGCACACAAAAAUAGGGUUACCCAUUGGGCAAUUUAAUUGAUUAAGUGAUUAUUCCAGUCAUUCCCAAAAAUGAGGAUCAUAUAUCCAUAAGCCUGUCUUGUUUCUACUGCAAAACAUUAUUUGUUCCCUUGCUGCCAAGCUCACCAAGUCAAGGUACCAUUCUUCAAUAGUUUGGCACACUUGGAACUUUCAUUGUUGUAUAAUUAGGCACUUAGCUACAAUCAGAGCUCUCCAGCCAAAGUUUUUUUGAAGGAUUUUAGUUUCCAAGAUGGAUUGGUUAGGCCUAGGAUGGCAUGGUCAGCCUGCAGUUCCAUCUUGAUAGAGAGAAAGAAAUUGGCCCAAAUAUUUACCUCUGUCCAAAAAAAGAUGGAUUACAGGACAACAUGUGGUAUAAACUAGUGCUGCUGCAUUGCAGUGCCAGCAUUUGUCACACAGGUGACUGCUCUGGAUCUGAAAAGUCUAUAUAGAGUCCAGUACAUCCUCCAAAUAAUUUUCUGAUGGAUUAAUUUUAGCUCCAAGUGAGCAGUGAUGUAUAUUGGAACAAAUCCGAGUCCACUGAAUAUUGGUAAGGGAGACUGAAAGUUCUUGUUCCUAUUUCCUUCUAUCAUUGUCACUACUGAUUGCCACUUUGCCUGAUGGAUAGGAAUACACUCUGGCCACUGACCUAGGUAGGCAGUAUAACAAUUUCAAAAAGCCCCAAGACUAAGGGGGUCCAGUGUUGCAAGGGCAUCAGGCCCAAAUCGGAGUUGCAGAGCUUGUCUAAGUUUCAGGUAUUGACAUUUCUUCUUUGGGCCCAGUUGGAAUUUCUCCCUAAGGCAAGGAAAGGGUGUUAAGGAAUCCUUUUCAAUUAUGUUGUUUAUGCUCACAAUCCUUUUUUUAAAUCCAAUUAAGCCACAGAACAGGACUAUAGGCAAUUAAAAUUUUGUAGUUACUCCAAAUUGAAGUCUUUGAGUGUACUAAGGGAUGAUACUUAAACUUAGAAGCAACCAGAUACCAGGCUUUCCUAGCAGAAAAAAAUGUAACAGAUUUCUCUGUAUAGAAAUGGUAGAGGUCUGAGUUCAGGACUUAUUCUCAUGGCAGUGGGGUUACAGUUCCUUCCCCCUGCACAGCCAGGCUGAGGAGCCUGGGGAGGUGGGGGAUAGAAUCAUAGAAAUGUAGGGCUGGAAGGGACCUCAAGAACUGGAUGUCAUCAAGUCCAGUCAGGAGGGUGCAGGGCCCGGUGCGGAAGUGAUGGCUUCAUCUCUUCCAGGACCGACCUUGCCAGCCAAUCGCACUGGCCUGCAGGGCCUACCAAAGCAUGGGGCCCGGAGCAGUCGCCCUGAUUCACCCUACCCAAGAGAUGGCUCUGAGUCCAGUUCCCUGCACCUAGAUCAUCCCUGACAGGAAAGAGGACUCACAAGUACCUGAUUUGUACCUGCUGCCAGGAAAAAAGUAUUAUCUAAAAGGGCAUAAUUAUGCACCCCUUCGGAGACAGAGAGAGCUUCCAACUCAUGCCAAUUAAUUUUGUACCCUGCAAUCUUCCCAAACAAUUCCAUAAUUUGUAAUAUGUUAGGGAUGGU